GACGAACGCUGGCGGCGUGCUUAACACAUGCAAGUCGAACGGAAAGGCCCUGCUUUUGUGGGGUGCUCGAGUGGCGAACGGGUGAGUAACACGUGAGUAACCUGCCCUUGACUUUGGGAUAACUUCAGGAAACUGGAGCUAAUACCGGAUAGGAGCUCCUGCUGCAUGGUGGGGGUUGGAAAGUUUCGGCGGUUGGGGAUGGACUCUCGGCUUAUCAGCUUGUUGGUGGGGUAGUGGCUUACCAAGGCUUUGACGGGUAGCCGGCCUGAGAGGGUGACCGGCCACAUUGGGACUGAGAUACGGCCCAGACUCCUACGGGAGGCAGCAGUGGGGAAUAUUGCACAAUGGGCGGAAGCCUGAUGCAGCAACGCCGCGUGCGGGAUGACGGCCUUCGGGUUGUAAACCGCUUUCGCCUGUGACGAAGCGUGAGUGACGGUAAUGGGUAAAGAAGCACCGGCUAACUACGUG
rnacentral:rRNA from 1 species